CAGAAGCUCUGCAGUUAACAACUCAAAAAAGUCAAAGCUUCCUUCGGAUACCAAGAGUUCACUACAAAAAUAAAAAUAAAAAAAUAAAAAAUUCAGCUGACUGAGAAUCUAGGAAGCACAUAAAAAAUCAUUACUUAAGAACAUAAUCCGAGGAACACACAAGCUGAAGGACUUCAUCAACGCUUGUGACAGCGCUUGACAUUUCAGCAUUUAAACCGAAAUGAUUUUUAAGCAUCAACUUCAAAAAUUACCGGAGAGCAAGCUACAGUGAAAACUUUAAAUACUCAAAAUUCGUGUUUUGGAAUAUUAUACCUUCCAAAAUUAAGUAUGGAGAGACCUUAGACUGUGUAGACUAUAAGGAGGCUGUGAUAUGAAACCAAGAAAUAUGAAAUAAAUUCUCAAUGGUGAAACAAUAA